UAAUAUCUAUGUCAAUAAUUAGUGUAAAAAUUAGUGUGGGCAUUGUUUUCUUGACUAAGCUCCUCCUACUAGAUACGUUGUUAGGAAUCGGUAUAGCGUCUACUGUUAAAGCGAUUGGAUCUGAAGGACUGACAUUUGGACUGUACUUUACUCAAGUUCAAAUGUUAGCUGCGCUCUUCUUAUUACUCAAUCUUUCAUCGUCGCUGGUAAUAAGUUCCAUCCUUCGGUUUAAGAUGAAGAGAGUGUAUGGGAUUUGUUUGUUUGUGUUCUACGUGAUAUUCUUAAAAUUGUUGUCAUACUUGCCGAGGCUAAAGUGUUCAAUAUCUCAAUUCCAAACAUUUUAGAACCUGUUUGAAUGUACUCUCUCACUCAAAUAUUAUGUAUAGCUACAAUAAUGAAUUGAUUGAUUAUUAUUAUUACUAAUGCUGUAUUAUAGUGUGUCUG